GAGCGGAAAGGCCCUUUCGGGGGUACUCGAGCGGCGAACGGGUGAGUAACACGUGAGUAAUCUGCCCUGCGCUCUGGGAUAGCCACCGGAAACGGUGAUUAAUACCGGAUAUGACAUGUCCCUGCAUGGGGGUGUGUGGAAAGUUUUUUCGGCGCAGGAUGUGCUCGCGGCCUAUCAGCUUGUUGGUGAGGUAAUGGCUCACCAAGGCUUUGACGGGUAACCGGCCUGAGAGGGUGACCGGUCACACUGGGACUGAGACACGGCCCAGACUCCUACGGGAGGCAGCAGUGGGGAAUAUUGGACAAUGGGCGGAAGCCUGAUCCAGCAACGCCGCGUGAGGGAUGACGGCCUUCGGGUUGUAAACCUCUUUCAGUACCGACGAAGCGAAAGUGACGGUAGGUACAGAAGAAGGACCGGCCAACUACGUGCCAGCAGCCGCGGUAAUACGUAGGGUCCGAGCGUUGUCCGGAAUUAUUGGGCGUAAAGGGCUCGUAAGCGGUUUGUCGCGUCGGGAGUGAAAACACCGGGCUUAACCCGGUGCUUGCUUUCGAUACGGGCAGACUAGAGGCAUUCAGGGGAGAACGGAAUUCCUGGUGUAGCGGUGAAAUGCGCAGAUAUCAGGAGGAACACCGGUGGCGAAGGCGGUUCUCUGGGAAUGUCCUGACGCUGAGAGCGAAAGUGU
rnacentral:rRNA from 1 species